rnacentral:tRNA from 1 species
GCUCCGGUGGUGUAGUCCGGCUAAGCAUCCGAGCCUCUCGAGCUCGUAACCCGGGUUCAAAUCCCGGCCGGAGCACCA